GAGAAUACUGUAGUCAUAAGGAUUUUCAUUCUUAUUUCUUUCGAAUUAAGAGGUGCAACUCUAUGACAUAGUCAUAAAGUUCAAACCAUUCAACUGAGAUGGUUUAUAAAUCCUUCUUGACUACCUUGGAGCUUUUGGUAUAGGAACUAGGUUGUUAUAUUUGUUGAUUAUUAUCUUGUCUCUGAAAGAACCCAUUCUUUGAGUUCUAUCUCUCGUUCAUUUGCUCUUAGGCAAUUCACAUUGUAGGAUUACAAUGAACUACCCAACAAAACAACAUUUGUUAGUUUGUUUAUAGAAGUGAUAUCCAAAAGUUCAUUUAAGGAUAUCCCACAAGAUUGUUAUCAAACAAAUAUUGCUUAUUAGCACACAACCCCAAAUCUUAACAUGCUUAAGAUUUGUCUUUCUUUCCAACUACAUCCUAUGGAGUCAUGAAAAUUUUUGGAAGAUCUUCUAAUUGACAAUCAUAUUGUUUUAGAAGUAUAUAUAUAUAUAUCAUAUAUAGGGGUAAUAGAUAACAUCAACGAACUAAAUCUUAUUCGAGUUCGUUCUUCUCCUAAUGGAGAAAUUCAUUAUCUUAUGAUGCUAUUCUCCUUGAUAUCUUUCAAGGAAAACUAUUCUAAAGUGUUACCAUUCCUUGGAUCAAAUCUAAGGAUGUAAAUACUUUAGACGUCUUACUCAUCAACUUACAUUUCUUGAAUUCUUUGAAACCUUUUGCAAAGUAUUCGGACUUGUGUUUAUUUAAAAUAAACUAUAGUCCAACCGAGGGUGAUCUUCGGUGAAUGUCAUACAACAUGAGUAGUAUUAUGUUGUGGACAAGUGCCACUAACAUCUAAGUGAAUUAACCUCAACAACUUUGUGAUUCUUUAUUCUUUCCAGAAGAAUAAAGAUUCGAACAUUUCGCCUCUAUACAAUUUUAACAAGAAGGUAUUGGAUCAGGAUCUAACGAUCCAAAGCAUCCAUCUAUGACCAACUCGUAAUUUAUGUUUUAGACGUAUCACAACUUAGUUGUGAUUAGUCACUACCUUGCAACCUUUUGGGUUUUAAGCAUCAUUAUGUUCUAAACAGUUAACACUACCAUAUCAUCUCUACUAUAGAGACAAUCAAUUAGAUUAUAAUAAUUCAAUCAUUGAUUAAUAAAGAACAAUGUUUUGUCAAACAAAACAUUCAUCCAUCUCUACUAUAGUGACGGAAUUACGUUCCUUAAAAUUGGAAUGUAAAGACAAUCUUUGGUUUUUCCAAUUUCUUUGGUAGUUCAUAUGAGGAAGUAAGUACUAUCUGCUUUUGCAGAGAUCUAUAUUUUAUUCACGUUCCGAAUGUGAAGCACCUUUUCUUCUCUCAUAUUUCUUCUACUUCUUAUUAGUCACACUUUUACAACGAUUGUAAAACAUAGUUACUAAUAAGGAAUCAAGCAUUCAAGUAGAAGAACCAACUAUUUUGAACUAUUCAAGAACAAUUUACAACACCUUCGAAAGGUGUGUUCUUGACACUUGCAAGACAUUUCUUGCAAAUACCCCUUCCAAUGUCCAUCCUUUCAUAAAGAAAGUUUGUUCCCUUGGAGUUAAUUUUAUCUUCUUCAUUUGACUUCUCCUUUAACUACAAUAGUCAUGGUCCCUAAACUCCCACUAUCUCUCUUGAAACUUAUUUCAAUUGUGUUAUACACAUCAAACAAUUUAGAGAGUGUGUGGUUAUUGUUCACUAUAUAGUUUACAAUAAACUUAGUGAACCAUUAGGAUAGGGACUCAAAGGUGAAGUCCUAGCCUAGUUUCUGUCUCUUGAAGUGGUCUAACACUUCAACACUCAAUGAUUCAAAAUCAUCAUAAGUCCAUGUUGAUGGACUAUUUUUCUCAACCAACCAUUAUGUUCUAAACAUAAUUACAAACCUUCAAGAGUUGUUCAAGGCAACUCUCAUUUCUUCAUACAACAAUAUGUAAGUGAAGAAUCAUGGCACAUAAAGUGUCCAUGCCAUUGUGCUUUCUUCUCAAGUUCUUUGUUCAUUUAACAAAGAAACAAGCACUAGUGUUUGCAUUGACUAAGGGUUGUUCAAAGCAACUCUUAUUUCUUCAUACAACAAUUUGUAAUUGAAGAAUUAUGACAUUAAAGUGUUGUCCUCUUUAUGAUAGACUUUUUCUAACAUAUUCUUCUAAUGAUACAUUAUUAAUAGGAAGAUUGUGAGGAUGAGACUACUUAGGUACAUUUACAAGCCAUUAAAGACAAUCUAUGGUUUUGUAGUACCAAGUCCGGAAACUAAAUCUUUCGGCUUUUAUUUGUCAAGUGUUGGAUAACGUUUGCAAAUAUAUUGGUAAAUAAAUACAUAACGAAUAUAAAUUGAUUGAUUUUAAGCCAUUUGAUCCGGGUCUUUAAAUCAAAUAGCACCACCCACUAUUUUUGGCAAAUUUCAUAUCCCUCAUUGGAAUUCGAGAGUUUUGGAGGAAACUCUUAGUAGGGUAUGGGAGACUCACUACUACCAAGCCCACCUCACAAUGAUAUGAUGUUGGCUAGCAUUAAUAAUAAUGAGAGAGUACGCUUACUCAUUUGCAUCUCUUGCAAGUACCCAUCUAUUUGGCCUCUAGAAAACAAUGCCUCACGAUGAUACGAUGUUGGCAUCAUUUCUCUUAGUUAAGUUCUUUCCCACCAUGCCGGUUUAGAUAGGGGUUCAAGUAUGACCUCACGAUGAUACGAUGUUGGCCACACUCGUUGCCUACCUUAACCUCAUCAAAUGUUUUAAAUAAACUCCUCCUGAGUAUAAGCAUGCACUUUGCACUCCCCCAUGAUAGGGUGAAGGCGGUGUACAAGUCAUAAACGAUUGGAGCCUACCACGGUGGAAGGCCACGAAAGAGUGUUCAAAGCACUCUCACGCUUGUCAACUUAAUAAUGGUUUGGUUGAGGGUUUUAGGUCUCAUCACAUAUAAAUAUUCAUUUUAAUCUUAAUUAACAAUUUUGGUCCUAUUACAACUAUUGGUCCAUAUGAUUGUUUUAGUUGUAUAUAAUACUCUCACUAUGCUUAUAAAACGGUUUUUAAAACAAGAGUAUAUGAUACUACUAACAUAAACUUUUGCAUUCAUUUGAUGGACUAUAUAGUUGCCUUAGGGCCUUAGGAUGACUAUGAACCUUUGUUUAGAUUCAACACGAGCCUAGUGUUGAAUCUCGGUCCAGGGAUGGUGAUUUAUUUUAGUUACGCGUUUUAAGCACAUUAAGGCGUGUUGUCUUAGGGGCGUUGGACCCAACUACUUCAUUUUUCAUGCAUAUCAAAUAAAGCAAGAAAGAAGUACUUCAAAGUAAAGGUGAGCUUAUGCUCAUUACAACAUUUGAACAAUUCAAAUUACUUUAAAGUAAAGAAGAGCUUAAGCUCUUUUACAACAUUUGAUCAAAUCAAAUUACAACCAAAAUCUAAUCUACACAUUCCAUGGUUCAAAACAAAUUUGAAACGGCCUUUCACAUAGCUCAAUUAUCGUAGGCUUAGGUUCAUAAUCACCCUUUAAUUAAUUAACACUUUAACUAAUUAAAUUUGAAUGCAACAUUUUCAUUUGGUUUUUGUAUCCAUAAAAUUGAUUUAAAUGGAGCUAAAUAAAAUGAAAAUCCAAUUCUCAUUUAAAGAGACAAAACAAUUUUGUUCUCAACCUAAUUUGGGCCAAAAUGCAAUUACCACAACUUUUGGGCUAUAUUGCAAAAACACAAACUUUUGGGGUCACUUUGUAAAAACACAAAAGUCCACUACUUCAUGUAAUUACAACUAGAACCCAAAAAUUUCAAUAAAUUCAAAACUUCAUUAAAGGAGCAAAACAAUUUGUCCUUUAGCGUUUUUAGGCCUUAACGUCAAAACGUAAACUUUCGGGUCAAAUACAAAUACACAAAAGUAUCAAAACUUUAUGUAAUUGCAUAAAAGCCCCAAAAAUACCCUAUUUUAAUAGGGUGGCCGGUUUUAGGGAGAAAAAGGAGUGGAGAUAAGUCCACAAAAAAUUGGAAAUUUUUCAACUAAGUCAUAAAGCCAUGCAAGUGGAAAUAGGUUGAUGUGAGAAGUCCUUACACACCCAUCACCAUUUCUAUCACCUUUCAAAAAUAAUAAAUGUUUUGAUGAUAGAUAAGUCACACCCACCAACACAAAACAAAGACUUUAUGAAAUAAAUCAAAACUUUGAAUCAAAACAUCAAACCUUUUUGUUCUUGCCAAGAACAUCAAGAACAAUGAAGAACAUCCAUGAAAACCCAUAAGAGCUCCAUGAAUGUUUUCAAGCAAUAAAACUCAAAUUUUCACCAUUCAAAAUGGGGCUAACAUCCUAGGGUACUUAGGGGUUCCAAAAGUCACUUUAAAACAUUUUUAACAAGUCAAACAAGAACCCAAAAAAUCACCCUUUGGAUUUGGCCGAAAAUCCCCAAAAAACUUGGCACCAAAUUUUAGCUCUAAUAUUCAUGCUCAUAUUGUUGGAAAUGUGCCCUAAAUCCAAUCAUGUGAUGAUACUUUACGGACAUUUCACAUGUUAAACUAAUCUAGUUUUACAUAUAAAGGGCAUACAUU
rnacentral:lncRNA from 1 species